UACAGAGGGUGCAAGCGUUGUUCGGAAUUACUGGGCGUAAAGCGCGUGUAGGCUGCAAUAUAAGUCGGAUGUGAAAGCCCUCGGCUCAACCGAGGAAGUGCAUCCGAUACUGUAUCGCUAGAGUGUCGGAGGGGAUGGCGGAAUUCCCGGUGUAGAGGUGAAAUUCGUAGAUAUCGGGAGGAACACCUGUGGCGAAGGCGGCCAUCUGGACGACAACUGACGCUGAGACGCGAAAGCGUGGGUAGCAAACAGG
rnacentral:rRNA from 1 species